ensembl:snRNA U2 U2 spliceosomal RNA
AUCGCUUCUCGGCCUUUUGGCGAAGAUCAAGUGUAGUAUCUGUUCUUAUCAGUUUAAUAUCUGAUACGUCCCCCAGCGGGGGACUACAUAUUAAGCGGAUUUUUAGAACAGGGAGUCGGCAAAGGAGCUUGCUCCAUCCGCUCCACGCAUCGACCCAGUAUUGCAGUGCCUCUGGGAGCGGUGCACUUUCU